rnacentral:rRNA from 1 species
GACGAACGCUGGCGGCGUGCUUGACACAUGCAAGUCGAACGGAAAGGCCUGCUUUCCCUUGUGGAUUGCGGGUACUCGAGUGGCGAACGGGUGAGUAACACGUGAGUGAUCUGCCCCCAACUUGGGUAUAAGCCUGGGAAACUGGGUCUAAUUCCCGAUAGGACUGCAGGGUGGUGCCUGUGGUGGAAAACGAUUUUCUAGUGGUUGGGGAUGAGCUCGCGGCCUAUCAGCUUGUUGGUGGGGUAAUGGCCUACCAAGGCGGCGACGGGUAGCCGGCCUGAGAGGGUGGACGGCCACAUUGGGACUGAGAUACGGCCCAGACUCCUACGGGAGGCAGCAGUGGGGAAUAUUGCACAAUGGGCGGAAGCCUGAUGCAGCGACGCCGCGUGGGGGAUGACGGCCUUCGGGUUGUAAACUCCUUUCGACCGCGAGGAAGCCACCUGGUUGGAAGGGUGGUGACGGUAGUGGUAGAAGAAGCACCGGCUAACUACG